rnacentral:rRNA from 1 species
GGAAUUACUGGGCGUAAAGCGCAUGCAGGCGGUUUGUUAAGUCAGAUGUGAAAGCCCGGGGCUCAACCUCGGAACCGCAUUUGAAACUGGCAGGCUAGAGUCUUGUAGAGGGGGGUAGAAUUUCAGGUGUAGCGGUGAAAUGCGUAGAGAUCUGAAGGAAUACCAGUGGCGAAGGCGGCCCCCUGGACAAAGACUGACGCUCAGAUGCGAAAGCGUGGGUAGCAAACAGGAUUAGAUACCCUGGUAGUCCACGCCGUAAACGCUGUCUACUUGGAGGUUGAGGUUUAGACUUUGGCUUUCGGCGCUAACGCAUUAAGUAGACCGCCUGGGGAGUACGGCCGCAAGGUUAAAACUCAAAUGAAUUGACGGGGGCCCGCACAAGCGGUGGAGCAUGUGGUUUAAUUCGAUGCAACGCGAAGAACCUUACCUACUCUUGACAUCCAGCGAAGCCUUUAGAGAUAGAGGCGUGCCUUCGGGAGCGCUGAGACAGGUGCUGCAUGGCUGUCGUCAGCUCGUGUUGUGAAAUGUUGGGUUAAGUCCCGCAACGAGCGCAACCCUUAUCCUUGUUUGCCAGCACGUAAUGGUGGGAACUCCAGGGAGACUGCCGGUGAUAAACCGGAGGAAGGUGGGGACGACGUCAAGUCAUCAUGGCCCUUACGAGUAGGGCUACACACGUGCUACAAUGGCAGAUACAGAGGGCAGCGAAGCUGCGAAGUGGAGCGAAUCCCUUAAAGUCUGUCGUAGUCCGGAUUGGAGUCUGCAACUCGACUCCAUGAAGUCGGAAUCGCUAGUAAUCGUGGAUCAGAAUGCCACGGUGAAUACGUUCCCGGGCCUUGCACACACCGCCCGU